UAGGGAAUCUUCGGCAAUGGGGGGAACCCUGACCGAGCAACGCCGCGUGAAUGAAGAAGGUUUUCGGAUCGUAAAGCUCUGUUGUUAAGGAAGAACGAGUGUGAGAAUGGAAAGUUCAUGCUGUGACGGUACUUAACCAGAAAGGGACGGCUAACUACGUGCCAGCAGCCGCGGUAAUACGUAGGUCCCGAGCGUUGUCCGGAUUUAUUGGGCGUAAAGCGAGCGCAGGCGGUUAGAAAAGUCUGAAGUGAAAGGCAGUGGCUCAACCAUUGUAGGCUUUGGAAACUGUUUAACUUGAGUGCAGAAGGGGAGAGUGGAAUUCCAUGUGUAGCGGUGAAAUGCGUAGAUAUAUGGAGGAACACCGGUGGCGAAAGCGGCUCUCUGGUCUGUAACUGACGCUGAGGCUCGAAAGCGUGGGGAGCGAACAGG
rnacentral:rRNA from 1 species